UUUUUUUAUUCAUGAAUAGUUGACAGCUGACCCUGAGACCAGUGAAAUGUUAUUGGUUUUUAAAUUCAAAAAAACAUAGGAUGCGGGUAUCUCGAAACAUAGUAGCCAGAAUUGAACUUUCGUAAAAAUUGUGAAAAGUCAUUGUCAAACGCAGACGACGCAGACACGCUCAUAAAUCUAAGACUUUUAGCACCUAGACGCACGUUCUCAGAUGGAUUGUCUCUAAGACAUUUACUUCAACAUAGGAAUCUGUCCUUAUCCUGGGGAAGAUUGAAAAACUGAAAGUCGAAUUGAUUGGUUCAGACUGUGACUGUGCUCGGGACGCUACUGCACUUUGACUGAGCUCGGGACGCUACUGCACUUCCAUUGUAUCCGAUCAGUUUCGCAGUGAUUUCCUUAAAUCUAGAUUUUGGCAUUUAUUUACUGCGGACGUAAGGAAACGGCAACAGCAGGACAACAUGAAGACAAACUAAAUUGAUUUUUUUUUAAUUUAAUUGUUAUUGAAGAAAAGACUCAGGUUUUACUGGCGAUACACCUUUCCUGACAUUUACAUUAAUAAAAACCUUUAAUUACAA